rnacentral:rRNA from 1 species
UGGGGAAUAUUGCACAAUGGGCGAAAGUCUGAUGCAGCAACGCCGCGUGAGUGAUGAAGGCCUUCGGGUUGUAAAGCUCUGUCUUUUGGGACGAUAAUGACGGUACCAAAGGAGGAAGCCACGGCUAACUACGUGCCAGCAGCCGCGGUAAUACGUAGGUGGCAAGCGUUGUCCGGAUUUACUGGGCGUAAAGGAUGCGUAGGCGGAUUUUUAAGUGAGAUGUGAAAACCCUAAGCUUAACUUGGGGACUGCAUUUCAUACUGGAAAUCUAGAGUGCGGGAGAGGAGAAUGGAAUUCCUAGUGUAGCGGUGAAAUGCGUAGAGAUUAGGAAGAACACCAGUGGCGAAGGCGAUUCUCUGGACCGUAACUGACGCUGAGGCAUGAAAGCGUGGGUAGCAAACAGGAUUAGAUACCCUGGUAGUCCACGCCGUAAACGAUGAGUACUAGGUGUAGGAGGUAUCGACCCCUUCUGUGCCGCAGUUAACACAAUAAGUACUCCGCCUGGGAAGUACGAUCGCAAGAUUAAAACUCAAAUGAAUUGACGGGGUCAUAGCUGUUUCCU